UUGAUUAAGGUGGUUCGUUAAGUUCGAAACAUGAGAACGAGACAAUGAAGUGGGAAGCAGCGAUACGAAAGGUAUCCUUGCCAGUUUGUUCGUGCAGGUGGUGAGAGAUGGUCGUGUGGUGUGGAUCCUAUUUGAUGGAGCAACUAAGGAAAGCUUACCGGGGCAAUUCAGCUUCUCAGCAGUGGAUGUGGAUGAUAACUUGGCUGGUCUGGAUAUUGCUUGAAGGUCAGCUGGUCCUGAUGUGCAAGAUGUGCAAGAAUAUGCUUGGUUAUCUGUGUAGUGGCCUUGGCUCCAGGGUGUGUGAUGGAAAGGAAGUUGUGGUGGACUGGCAUUCCUGGCGUGUGAUGGAAAGGAAGUUGUGGACUGGUGUUCCUGGCUCCUGUUGCACUGCCACUGCAUUCCUGUUGAACAUUUUGUCUUGUUGCCUAACAUUAAAUUAAAA